GACUCUCAGCAAUGGAUAUCUCGGCUCUCGCAUCGAUGAAGAACGUAGCAAAAUGCGAUACCUGGUGUGAAUUGCAGAAUCCCGCGAACCAUCGAGUCUUUGAACGCAAGUUGCGCCCGAGGCUACUCGGCCGAGGGCACGCCUGCCUGGGCGUCA
rnacentral:rRNA from 1 species